rnacentral:rRNA from 1 species
UUAUGGCUCAGGAUGAACGCUAGCGACAGGCUAACACAUGCAAGUCGAGGGGCAGCACGGGAGUAGCAAUACAACGUGGUGGCGACCGGCGCACGGGUGAGUAACGCGUAUGCAACCUACCUAUCAGAGGGGAAUAACCCGGCGAAAGUCGGACUAAUACCGCAUAAAACAGGGGCACCGCAUGGUGAUAUUUGUUAAAGAAAUUCGCUGAUAGAUGGGCAUGCGUUCCAUUAGGUAGUUGGUGAGGUAACGGCUCACCAAGCCGACGAUGGAUAGGGGAACUGAGAGGUUGGUCCCCCACACUGGUACUGAGACACGGACCAGACUCCUACGGGAGGCAGCAGUGAGGAAUAUUGGUCAAUGGGCGAGAGCCUGAACCAGCCAAGUCGCGUGAAGGAAGAAGGAUCUAUGGUUCGUAAACUUCUUUUGCAGGGGAAUAAAGUGCGGGACGUGUCCUGUUUUGUAUGUACCCUGAGAAUAAGGAUCGGCUAACUCCGUGCCAGCCGCAGC